GAUGAAGAACGCAGCGAAAUGCGACACGUAAUGUGAAUUGCAGAAUUCAGUGAAUCAUCGAAUCUUUGAACGCAUAUUGCGCUCUCUGGUAUUCCGGAGAGCAUGCUUGUUUGAGUAUCAGUAAACACCUCAACUUCCAUAUCUUUUUUGAAAUGGGAGUUGGACUUGAGUGAUCCCAACGCUUUUCCUCACCGAAAAGUGGCGGGUUACUUGAAAUGCAGGUGCAGCUGGACUUUUCUCUGAGCUAUAAGCAUAUCUAUUUAGUCUGCCUAAAAAACAGAUUAUUACCUUUGCUGCAGCUAACAUAAAGGAGAUUAGUUCUUGUGCUGACUGAUGCAGGAUUCACAAAGACAGCUUCGGCCGACUUUGUAAACUCGAUCUCAAAUCAAGUAAGACUACCCGCUGAACUUAAGCAUAUCAAUAAGCGGAGGA
rnacentral:misc_RNA from 1 species